UUCUGCACUUGGGUCUUCAUACACACACCCGCCCUUGGAGAAGGAAUCUUGUCUUUCCCAGGAGGGCAAGUGGAAAAAGAAAAGAAAACAUGCUCCAACAGCCACCAGAGAUUUGGAAUGAACCUGUGUUGCUUCAUCUGCUUCUUUAGGAACUCUUGCUGACCUUGUGAACCAUCGUUUAUGUUUUUCCAUGCUUCUGACUUUAAUAUUCAGCACUAGAUUCACCAGCCUCUUCUACAGAUGCUCAACAUUCAAUCCUGGAGGCUCCACUUCAUCAUCAGAUGUGCAGUCUAGGAAACAUAAGAAGAAUUUUACAGCCCAGGAAGAACAUCAUUUCUGCUGAAUGUGCCAAUGGGCCCUGAGAUCAACUCGCCGGAACUGCAGUAGUGUCAAGAAGA